GGGGGUUGGGCAUGGUCAAGCUUGGAACUUUUUGGAGCAUUGCCAAGCAACUUCACAAACAUUCCAUAAAUGUUCCAUUGCAGUUGCUCAGGAAAGCCUAGAUAUGGAAACAACUGAUGAAGAAACAACUGACAAUCCAGUAAUUUCACCAGAAGGAAGUGAAGAAAAAGAAAGUGAUGAUGAAGACACUGAAAAGCAUUGCCUUAUUGAGCAUUAUCAAGAUCCAUUGGAAA